rnacentral:rRNA from 1 species
AGAGUGAACGCUGGCGGUAGGCCUAACACAUGCAAGUCGAACGGCAGCACGGUAAGAGCUUGCUCUUAUGGGUGGCGAGUGGCGGACGGGUGAGGAAUACAUCGGAAUCUACCUUUUGGUGGGGGAUAACGUAGGGAAACCUACGCUAAUACCGCAUACGCCCUUCGGGGGAAAGCCGGGGACCAGCAAUGGCCUGGCGCUGAUAGAUGAGCCGAUGUCGGAUUAGCUGGUUGGUGAGGUAAUGGCUCACCAAGGCGACGAUCCGUAGCUGGUCUGAGAGGAUGAUCAGCCACACUGGAACUGAGACACGGUCCAGACCUCCGUACGGGAGCAGCAGUGGGGAAUAUUGGACAA